UCCUCUAGAGCUCAGUCGGUAGAGCAUGCGGCUGUUAACCGCAGGGUCGUAAGUUCGAGUCUUACUGGAGGAGCCA
rnacentral:tRNA from 1 species